UACGUAGGGUGCAAGCGUUGUCCGGAAUUAUUGGGCGUAAAGAGCUCGUAGGCGGUUUGUCGCGUCUGCUGUGAAAACCCGAGGCUCAACCUCGGGCCUGCAGUGGGUACGGGCAGACUAGAGUGCGGUAGGGGAGAUUGGAAUUCCUGGUGUAGCGGUGGAAUGCGCAGAUAUCAGGAGGAACACCGAGUGGCGAAGGCAGAGUCUCUGG
rnacentral:rRNA from 1 species